AGAAUCAACGCUGGCGGCGUGCCUAACACAUGCAAGUCGAACGAGAAAGUGAAGCAAUCCAUGAGUAAAGUGGCGCACGGGUGAGUAACACGUGACUAACCUACCCUUGAGUGGGGGAUAACCUAGAGAAAUCUGGGCUAAUACCGCAUAAUACCUUCGGGUCAAAGGAGCAAUUCGCUUAAGGAGGGGGUCGCGGCCGAUUAGUUAGUUGGCGGGGUAAUGGCCCACCAAGACUGUGAUCGGUA
rnacentral:rRNA from 1 species